CACCAAUCUAUAUAUAUUGAAUGCAAAUGGGUUAACCGGCAAAUUCCCUUCAAUAUACUUUGAAAUCCUUGAAGUGAAUUGCACAUUCACAUCAAAUCUAUCGAUCAAGGAUAGUUUACAUAAUAAAGUUCAUUCAUUUACUCUCGUGCACUAGAGAAAAAAAGAAAUGACUCAAAUAUUUUUGACAGAAGUUUGACUGAUGUAACAUGAAAUUUGUCUCUUGUAUUUUAUGCCUCUAAAGUAUCUCUGUUUAUAGAGAUUAACAUAUGUAUUGGUUUGAAUUAAACCCAAACAUUACAUUUGUCUUUUAAUAUGUUGCCUCAUGACAUACUUCAAUUUCCACUAAUCUACCACCUUCAAUACCUGUUGCUACUGGUAAUAAGGCUCAUGGGUCACAAUGCUCCAAUUCUAGUCAUAGGAUUGCGUCUGAUGGGAGAACAAUGAUAUGGUUGGAUGUUCGAGGGUAGUUACUGUGUAGAGUGGCCUCAAGGACCCUCACCUUAGUCAUUAAAUCACAAUAUAUUGACCCGUAUCCUAGUUGGAGAGCAAUCCCAGAAUUAACUUUGAAACGUUGGUUUGACAAAUUUGGUGUAAAAUUAUGUUAUAUAUCCUGUUAAUGAGUUCAACUAUUGUGUGUAUACUAAUUAAUACAUUAUAACUUAUUUGUAACGUAAUGUUGUAGGAUAGAGUUGUUUUCUGAUUAAGAAUAUCUUCAAUACAAAAGGAUCAAUGCAUCUUUUUGAGACAUUGAUGCAAGAGAGAAAGAAGCGCAAAUGUCCAACUUGGAUGGACGAAAGUGUUUGGAAUGAUAUUGAGAAGAUAAGGAUGGACCUGUCGUAAAAGGAGAUAUCAAAUCGAGCUAAGAAAAAUGGUGUUUCUUCUAAAUGAGAAGUUGUCCCUACUGGUGGAUCUAUAUCCAUCACUAAACAUAUCAUUCAGAUGAUACACUUUUUAUGUCAAAAUCUUCACUGUAUAACCAUUUAAUGUUUGGCUCAAGGACAUGCCUACUAUUUGUUAUUUUUAUUAUUUUGUUGUGUUGCUGUUUUGUUUUGCUGAUGUUUGAGAAUGCAUAUAGCUAUUUUACUAAAA